AUUGAACUCUGGCGGCAGGCCUAACACAUGCAAGUCGAGCGAGCGGCGGACGGGUGAGUAAUGUCUGGGAAACUGCCUGAUGGAGGGGGAUAACUACUGGAAACGGUCGCUAAUACCGCAUACCAUCAGAUGUGCCCAGAUUGGAUUAGCGAGUAGGUGGGGUAAUGGCUCACCUCGGCGACGAACCCUAGCUGGUCUGAGAGGAUGACCAGCGACACUGGAACUGAGACACGGGCCAGAAGCCUACGGGAGGCAGCGGUGGAGAAUAUUGCGCAAUGAGCGGAAGGCUAAUGAAAGCAUGAGGGGUGUGAAAAGAAGGCCUGCGGGUUGUAAAGCACUGUCGGAGGGGAGGCGUUACCCGCGGAAGAAGCAACGGAUAACUCCGUGCCAGCAGCCGCGGUAAUUC
rnacentral:rRNA from 1 species